AAACAUCGCCUCCUGCUAAUUCUAAGUAUAGGAGGUCCCGCCUGCCCUGUGACCAUGAGUUUAACGGCCGCGGUAUUUUGACCGUGCGAAGGUAGCGCAAUCACUUACCCCUUAAAUAGGGGCCUGUAUGAAUGGCAUAACGAGGGCUUGACUGUCUCCCCACCCCAGUCAAUGAAAUUGAUCUCUCCGUGCAGAAGCGGGGGUAAAACCAUAAGACGAGAAGACCCUGUGGAGCUUUAGACAAUAAAUAGCCCUCAUUAAUAAGCUUCUUAAAUAAGAUGAAACGAAAAGGAAACCUAUUUUGCUGUCUUUGGUUGGGGCGACCGCGGGGGAAAAAAGAGCCCCCAUGUGGAAUGAAAACAUCUUUCUAAACUAAGAGUGUCAACUCUAAGCAACAGAACAUCUGACCUAAAAUGACCCGGCAGAAGCCGAUCAACGAAAACAGUUACCCCAGGGAUAACAGCGCAAUCCUCUUCCAGAGUCCCUAUCGACAAGAGGGUUUACGACCUCGAUGUUGGAUCAGGACAUCCUAAUGGUGCAGACGCUAUUAAGGGUUCGUUUGUUCAACGAUUAAAGU
rnacentral:rRNA from 1 species